UCACUUUGGUUUGCGGUCUUUAUCUUGUUCAAUGGGAUCACAGCCUGCAUCAAGUUGAUGUCUAUCAGUAUCUUUAGCAAGGGACGAAGGGGAAGACGGAUGAGAUGUAGAGAGAAUUACCUUGUUUGACAGUAAGAGACUUAUUUGCCGGAGUUGGAGCAUAGGUUUGGGUAGCCCUAUUGUCAAGUAGAAGCCUACUUGGAAUCCCAAUUACUUGUUCUUGAACUGAAAUCUUCAUGCUUGAUGGUGAAUUGAGAUUGCAAGUCAAAUAGAAUUGUAGUAGUCUUGUGUUUCUGAUUGUUGAGAGAGUUAAUGGUGGUGAUGAUGAGAAGUUGCAUGUAUCCUGCAAGUAUAUAUACUAUAGAGAAAAGGAGUUGGUGAAUGUCAACUCUUGAAUGCAUGAGUCAGCCAUGGCUCAGCCACAAUGAUAAAGGUAAAUAUAUUGUCUAAAUUUGUUAUAUUUUAAAGAAAGAUUUUAAAAAGGAUUACAUUUUUUAUUGCAGCAGACCAGAUGAUGGAAAUUUGUUUGGAUUUGAAAAAAUCUCAUCUUCAUUCAAAUGGGACCAAUUCCAGAUAAGCUGAGACAGUUAAAAUAGUCCAAACAAAGUCCAUGUUGGCUAUUCCUUAGUUAGGAUGAUUUCUGAUAUAUGCUGACAGUGUAAAGGAAGCUUUUUGAGGUGGCAAAUUAGCUUUGUGAUGCCAUCAUUUAAGAAAAGAAACAAAUGAACAUGUGAAGCAGUUAGAUUUGAUGAAAUGGAUGGCCUACUGCUUUUGCAUAGAUUGCUGAGGUGGGGCUGACUAGGCAGUUGGCCUGCCUAAUUAAGCAACACUAUUUUAAUAAUUUACUUCACCAGAUUUUUUCUCCUUUAAAGUUUAAACACUAAACCUUAACCAUGACCAUAAACUUGUUGAUGUAGCUAUGAAUUAAUCUUCAUUCUUUACAUGUUUGGAAAAA